rnacentral:lncRNA from 1 species
UUCUCUUCUUCAAGGACACAACCUUUUCAUAAAGACACAUUUUGUCUAAAAAGCAUCUCUACAUUUUUACCAAACACAACUUUUGGAUAAAGGUAUUAUUUCUGUCACAACCAGGUACUCUCCUCGAGCCUGUGACAACCACCGCAAUGUCUCGAUAGACAUUCAUCGCCCGGAAUGCCGACCGAAACCUCGCAAGGCUUUUAUAUCAAUUUUUCUCACCUCCCCUGUGAGCGACAGUUGUUAAAUAUCAUGUUUUGAGAGAUUAUAAACUAUUUCCAAAUCAAAACAAUAGAAAAAUAAUUUUUGUCUCACAGGGGCAUUUUGGUCAUUUUGCCUCGAAAAUCUCGAAACCAGCUAAAAAUGUAGUAUGCGAGUGGAAAACAUAUAUUUCAUAAUCAAAAAUAAGUUUAGAUAUUAAACUGAAAUUAUAACUAUUUGAAUAUAAUAAAAAUAUUCAAUAAAAUAUUCUAUUUUCUUAUAAAACAAUAUUUAUAAAGUUACCGGUAAAUAAUUCUUGUAGCGUAAAAGCUAAAUAAAUUCAUACAUAUUGUAAUACAGAUAACCAAAGUAUAAAAUUUAAUUUUCAGUAACACGUAGGCCCACGAACGACCAAAAGUAAUGAAGAUUAUGAACCUACAGUUUUUUAGGAUGCAAGUCCAACUGUAGCCCUCAACAAAGUGAGCUAUCUACCAACUAUCCUAAGCUUGAAAUGGGUGGAAAAGAGGGUGGUGAGAUUAUAUAAUCCCAGUGAGUAAACAAAUACCAUCUAAAAUAUCUAAAGUUGAGUAAAUGGAGAUAGAUAAAAUAGUUUAACAUACUGUAAUUCAUCACCUUUUAACUCAUUUCAACCAAAUAAAAUCAAUUCAUAUAAAUCGAGUAAUCAACAUGGCUUAUGAAUUUCUUAAAACUUUGGCUCAUGCCAAAAUCAUUCUUAUACUCAGUUAUCAGAGAUACCUUGGCCGAGGGCUAUCCCAACCAAGUUCGCCAAGGCUAUUAAAAAGUUAUGUUCGCAUAAAUCAUGUUUUUAUUUUAAAAACAUAGCCGUUCCUUGGUGUUGGUUGAGUUCACCCUCACGUGGUGGUUUGUCGUGAAGUGAACUCUAUAGUUGUACCUCGGGAGUUACCCUACACGCCUCUCUGACCGAGGUAAGAAUAUAAUAGGGUUACCGUGCCCCCUCUAAUUGACUGGUCCACGGAAUCCAUCCACUGCAGCGACUAAUCAAUAACCCACCAAUUCAAUAAAAUUCAACAGCAUGACAUGGCAAUUUUAUCAUUAUCCAGCCUAUCAAGGUAAACAACAGUUUAUACAUUUUCAACACAAAUACUAAUUCAACCAUUCAUGCCAAUAUUGCCAUAAGCCAAUCAAUUAGAACCAUAAAUUCACAAUACAUCAAAUGGUCUCCAAUUACUCUAUUUUCAAAGCCAUCAUUCAAUUUCAAGACAAUUUAUAAAAUCAUUUCAUUUAAACACAUUUUGUUUAUAAAACAUAAAGAUUUACCAUUUAAACUCAUUUUCCAUAAAAUCACAAAAUCAGAUAAAAACCACUUUAGAUAAUUAAGACAAUAGUAAGGUUAGUCACUAUUUCGGAAGUCGAAUUUCGAGUACUCCGAAAAUUGAUCCUCGGGACUAUCUCUUUAUUUUUGCCAGAAUGUUCACCACCUAGACAUAAUGCACAAUAAGCCAUUUACUACAUUUGUGCUAAAUUGUUAUAAAACCAAUUCAGGCUCUAUACUAAUGCAUGAAAUGGGAUGUAAAUUAUUCAGAUUAUCGUCUAAACACAGUGUUCUACACAAAUUCAAUUGUGUACCUAAAUAAAACGAUAUUGACCUAAUUCGAUCUAUCACCCGAUUAAUUGGCCAAUAUGUCCAAUUUAACUCCAUUUAAUUCUAUUUUUCUUCCAAUUCUCCAAAUCAUCAAACACAAAUUAAAUAACUUGAAAUAUGGCAAAAUCAUUCUCACAUUUUCUCUUGGAAAAUUCGGCCAUGGUGGGUGCAUCAACACUAUAAUUUUUCCUACUUGAUUCUCACACCAUAAAUCACUAAUUCCUAACCAAAUCACUUGAUAUAAAAUCAAAAUCAUCCUCAAUAUUCCACAUGGAGAAUUCGGCCAAUGAUGGGUGAUGGAAGAACAUGAAUUUUUCUUGCUUGAUUUUCAUGCUACACAUCACUAACUAACUAAAAACACUAAAAUUCAUUGAAAUCUAACCAAAUCAAGCAUCAAAACCUCCCUCUAAGUGUUUGGAUAGCAUGGGUAUCCUCAUGAAAUCAUGUGAUUCAACCAUGGAAAAUAACAAAAAAAUGCUUAAGAAAGAGAGAUCUCGAGCUUAAUUGAAAAAUCUUACCUUUCUUUCACUUGUUUCCUUGAAUUUUCACACUUUUCCCUUGAAUUUUUCCACCUAGGGUUUUUAUUCUUCUUUUCUUCAUU